AGUGAACGCUGGCGGUAGGCCUAACACAUGCAAGUCGAACGGCAGCACAGUAAGAGCUUGCUCUUACGGGUGGCGAGUGGCGGACGGGUGAGGAAUACAUCGGAAUCUACUUUUUCGUGGGGGAUAACGUAGGGAAACUUACGCUAAUACCGCAUACGACCUACGGGUGAAAUCAGGGGAUCUUCGGACCUUGCGCGAUUGAAUGAGCCGAUGUCGGAUUAGACAGUUGGCGGGGGAAAGGCGCACCAAGGCGGCGAUCCGUAGCUGGUAUGAGAGGAUGAUCAGCCACACUGGAACUGAGAAACGGUCCAGACUCCUACGGGAGGCAGCAGUGGGGAAUAUUGGACAAUGGGCGCAAGCCUGAUCCAGCAAUACCGCGUGAGUGAAGAAGGCCUUCGGGUUGUAAAGCCCUUUUGUUGGGAAAGAAAAGCAGCAGGUUAAUACCCCGCUGUUCUGACGGUACCCAAAGAAUAAGCACCGGCUAACUUCGUG
rnacentral:rRNA from 1 species